AUUAAAAUUGAGGAACUGAUAAUGUUUUCAGAGGGAUUAUCUUCCAAGGAGUGACUAGGAUCCAAACUCAAAAAAUAAACAGAUUAAGACCAUUUCUUCAGUCUAGUUCCACAGUGUGUACACCAUGAACUUUGCCAAAGGACAGCUGAUAUUUUUCCUACCCCAUCCCCUUCAUUUGGUCACCCAAUUUCAACAGGAAAGCUGGGAGGGACUGGGAGUCUGGGGUUAACAGAUGCAAACUAUUGCCUGUGGAGUGGAUAAGCCAUGAGAUCCUACAGCGCCGCACAGGGAACUCUAUCUAGUCACUUAGGAUGGAACAUGAUGGAGGACAACGUGAGGAGAAGAAGGUAUAUACACACGCGUGACUGGGUCACUCUGCUGUACAGUGGAAAUUGACAGAACACUAUAAACCCACUAUAAUGAAAAAAAUAAAAAUCAUUUAAAAAAUAAAGCUAAAAUUCAGCAAUAACACCUUGUGGUGACUGGCCCUGUUCUAAACACUGGACACAGUAUGAGGCUAUCAAGGAACGUACAGUCUAGUGGGACACAUAGAAUCAUCACUGACGCAGCAACGGAGAUGCAGAAAGUACAACUGGGGCACGGAAGUUCAGCCCAGGCUGAUGAAUAAAGGCUCAGCCGUGGCCAGGAGGAGGAGGUUCUAGCUGAUCGACAUUGGCACAGGACCUUCCAGACAGGAGGAGGAGCAUGCGUAAGCAACACUGAGCACAGCACAGCCUCUGGGGAUAACUCGCACGUGGCACCGUGUGAGCACGCAGAGGGCACACUGGGGCGGGGGGGGGGGGGUGGGGGGGCGGCUCUGGUUGGAAAUGGGCCUUCAGCACGCAGACAGGUGCCACAUCACAAAGGGCGGCGGCGGACCUUAUUCUGCAGGUGAAUGGUAAGCAGAGGAAUGAACGGUACAGUUAUGUUUCGGAAAGUUUACUUGGGUCACAGAGGAAAGAUGGAUUAAAAUGACUUAUUUAAGUCAUACUAGAGACUAAAACUAGUAAGAAAGCUAUUAUAUUACAGAAACAGAGGUAAUGAGGGCCAGAACUUGAGAAGCAACAGUGGAAAUGGGCAUAAAGUGACCAAUUUAAAGAAGAUUCAGAAAGUAAAAUAUUCAUGAGGAGUUCCUAUCGUGGCUCAGUGGUUAACGAAUCCGACUAGGAAGCAUGAGCGGGUUCGAUCCCUGGCCUCGCUCAGUGGGUUAAGGAUCCGGCGUUGCUGUGAGCUGUGGUGUAGGUCGCAGACGAGGCUUGGAUCCACAUUGCUGUGGCUGUGGUGUAGGCCGGGCGGCUACAGCUCCGAUUGGACUCCUAGCCUGGGAACCUCUAUAUGCUGUGAUGCAGCGCUAAAAAGACAAAAAAAAAAAAAAAAAGUAAAAUAUGUGACAGACACCACAGGUUCCCAGCUAACUGCCUGCCCACAACUCACUGUAAAGGCUAGAAGAGCCAGACAGGCCCCUUCUCAGCUUCACCACAGUCACCAGGGAGCCAACUCUGGACCGUCUCUUGGGAAAGGAGGGUGGCUGUGGCAAGGCCUUCCCCGUCUAUUCAAAAGAGAUGGAUGUGGAGGAAAGUCCUACUCACCUCUGUCUUCUCCUCCUGCUGACUGAGGACACUAUGUCGGGUGCUGUGACAGUCACUUUACAACUAGGAGGGGACAAAGCAAGAACAAAAGCCAACAUGCUGAGGACAGCAGAGUGGAAAGACGAAAAAGUCUUGGUCCCUGAGGACUGGCCGAGCUGCGGGGCUAAUGCAGGGACUGUUUAUUUCUGGCGUAAGUAUCCUUCCAGUUCAAGCCACUCAUUGUCAAGCUCUCUGUUACUUUCAAAUAAAAUUAACCAAACUAAGAGACAGGGCCUGGUGAGGUGCAGGGUUUGUAACAAAGAGGAAUUUAAGUUUUGUUCCGAAGGCUCUGCCUUGGAAACUGAGAAGAAGGUGCCAGUUACCAAGAUAAAAUUACAGCACAAGAGAUUUGCAUCUUGGGGCUGGGGGGUGAGGCUGAGGUGGGGGGUGGAGGAGAGGAGGAAGGGUCUAAGGGGGGGAGGAGAAAAGGAAAAAAGUUUGUUCCUGGGCAUGCCGACUUAGAGAUAUUACGGAAUCAAGGGAGCUCCCAUUGUGGCUCUGUGGCAGCAAGCCCGACUACUAUCCAUGAGGAUCAGAUUCGAUCCCUGGCCUCGCUCAGUGGGCUAAGGGUCUGGUGUUGCCGUGAGCUGUGGUGUAGGCCGGCAGCUACAGUUCCAAUUAGCCCCCUAGCCUGAGAGCCUCCAUAUGCCAUAGGUGCGGCCCUAAAAGGCUAAAAAAAAAAAAAAUUAUGGAAUCACCCAGGUGAGAAGUUUAUUGAGGUGACUCUGGAACUCUUUCAAACAGUCUGAAUGAGAUCGACAGAUGUGCGGGAAGCCAGAUCCUGCCCCAGCUGCACGGCUCACACUCCCUAAGGGAGACAAGAGACUCAAAGGAGUGGAGUCCAGAUAAAAACUUCCUAAUGUGAAGAGUCCUAGAAAGUGUUAAUCUUCUACUAUGACUCUGAAGAUGUACAGAUACUCUUUAAAAGUAGGAAGAAAACGUUUUAUAGAAUGCAUCUACAGACAUUAUCAUAUUACUGCAUAUUUUUAUUUUAUAAAAACUCCUUAGUAGCCAAGAUAACUGGAGAAACCCAGUAUCUGGAUGGAGGACCAAUGAAGAGCUUGUGCUAAAGUGACUACACCAGAGAUGGGCGCAGCCACUGAAACCCCCGGCCUCACUGUGUAUGCUCGCAAAUCAGCACUUUUGAAUCACCUCAUUCCCAAGACGCGGAAAGUAACUCCAGGACAGGUUUUACCGGGGAUGGAUUACUCCGAAGCACAGAGAGGAACCUAAUCAUUGAGAGGGCAGCAAGCAAUAAUUAAGCACCACUGAGAAAGAUUAAGUAAGCUUCUGAGGGCUGGCGUAUUCCUCCAGGAGAAGGAAGUUAAUUCGGAUGACCCCAAAACAAUUAUUUUCACCCGUGGCAGAGUUAUGGCAGCACUGACCCGCAGCUCCCACCCCAGUGAAAAGGAAAAGCAGAGCAGGCAACAGUCUCACAGAGAAAGAGGCACGAGGAUACACAGCAAGUGGUCCCUAUAAACAGUGAUUAUAAGUGCAAAUCAAAGGCUGAUUUUCUUGUUUACAAAGCUGGGACUGGAUAGGUAGCUCAUGUACCAGGCCUGUAUGUAAGGACAGACGGACAGAUGCGGGCAAUCCUCAUCAAAAGCAUUUAUGACUAGCAAAGAUAAAAGGACUCUGCCCUUGCCAUCAAGCAAACAUGUUCAAAAACCAAAACAGACUUGAGAAAAAUAAGUAUAAUAGAUACAAAUUUUGUCUAUCAACCCACUGGUCUUCAUUCUAAAACCUAACUCUGAGCACACUGCUCCCCACCACGAAAACUUUAAGAGGUUCCCUCCCGGCUCACAGCCUCCCUAAGCCCUUCACUCCAACCCCAAACUAAAUGUUUUGUCCCCUUUCACGCAUUCUAUCUACACUCUAGCCAUGAGGGGACCAGCGGAGAUCCCCCACCCAACCCGUGCUUUCCCACUCCUGCCACUCUGUUCCCACUGACUGUUCUCUGCCUGUGGACAUGCUGCCGGUCCUUCAGGCUUGACGUUCUGGAGCUUUCAGCAUCCCCGAUCCCACAAAGCACUCAGGCUCCCCCCUUUACAUCUUGUUCUGCUCUUAGCAAAAGUAGGCUAUUCUGUCUUGAUUUGUUACUACUGUGACAUUCUAAAUUCCUUAAAAGGGAUAAUUCACUUUGGUGACUUCUACAGGGUCAUAACUAAAUAACCGUAGGCUGCCAAGUUAGUGGCAUAAAACACAAACUGAAAGCUCUCAAAAAAACACACAAGGACUUCCUGUUGUGGCACAGCGGAAAGGAAUCUGACGAGUAUCCAUAAGGACUCAGUUUCGAUCCCUGGCCUUGAUCAGUGGGUUAAGGAUCCGGAGUUGCUGUGAGCUGUGGUGUAGGUUGCCAACAUAGCUCGGAUCCUGAGUUGCUGUGGCUGUGGUGCAGGCCGUCAGCUGCAGCUCCUAAUCGACCCUUAGCCUGGGAACUUCCAUAUACCACAGGUGCGGCCCUAAAAAGCAAAAAAAAAGAAAAAAGAAUACACAAGCCUAGGUUUGAUAACUCAGCUAUAAAGACUCAUAUACUUCUGUUAGGAAGAAAAAGCAAUACAUAAGAAAUAAACACAGGAAUUAUUCAGUGGAGAAGAUAAUGAAACAGACUGUGGUCUAGAAAUUCUAGCUCCUACUUCGAAGUUAUCUGGCCGGGUUUAGCCCACCCUUUUGUCUCUCUCUGCUCCCUCUGUAACUACCUCCUCUGCAAAGGCGAGGUGAAGAAUAAGAUCUUUGUUGUCUAGUUAAUACCUCUUCCUCUACCUUCGCAGAUUCCUUUUAGGCUCUGAAACCAUGGCCCCCUGGCCACUGCAGAAUUCUGACUUAUAAAGGACUGGAAACCAUCUGCAAGAACAGGCACACAGUGUUCUCAAUACAUCUUCAGGGAUGGUUUGUAACACUCUUCAUGAAUAAGCAGUCAGAUCACUGAGGGGGUGGGGGGCAAAGACACGGUAAAGGGAUAUAAGAAUUCUUGAAAAGUAAAGGCAACUACAGCUCUCUGCAGAAAAAGGUUAAAUCUGGGGAAUUAUUUCUUAACCAGUCACAAAGGCCAAAGACCUUACAAAGCAGCACGAUUUUCUAGCAUCUCUAAUUCUGAUUAUUCUUCUCUGAAACUUUUGCUACAGUGUUCCACUUUUCUUAGAGCCUACACCAAGCGCUAUGUCCUACUCUCACGAAUUCCCAGAUUGCGGCAUGGGAAUUCUCUUCUACCCAAGAUACGACACUGGAAAUUUAAAAACUUAAAGACAAUGCAAGAGAACCAAAACUUUAGGUCUAUGAAGGAGAACAAGACUCCCGACCUUUAGUAUUUCUGUUCUUUUGCAUCCAGCAAAAACAAUGAUGGGAACGUUCGGUCAAUCCGAAAAGAAAUUUUAAACAACGCAAAGAGAGGUAACCGCUUACAAAGCAAAAACUAAUCAACCCAAAGCCAUGCAAACCCAAGCAUGCCUCUAACUGCAACAAUAAUUUUGUACUGGGUGUUUCAAUGGCAAACCGAUCCUUGGACUCGAUUCUGUGGGCUUAGAAUACACCAAAGGCAGAUGACAUAACAAACAAGUUCUUCCCGUCCCUCUCCUGUGGUCACGUCAGAUACCUGUUGCAUCACCCGGAAAGUGGUCUCCAGAAUCCAGGAAAGGCGCACCACCAGGAUCCCUAAAUAAGGCAGCCGGACUAUUUGCUGGAUCAAUUUUAGCCUCCAUUCAUUUUAAUGAGGUUGCCUUGGAGGCAGAGGUGUGUUGGCUCCUGUUCACCUCUGAAGUCAGUCUC
rnacentral:lncRNA from 1 species